UACGUAGGGUGCAAGCGUUAAUCGGAAUUACUGGGCGUAAAGCGUGCGCAGGUGGUUAUGUAAGACAGAUGUGAAAUGCCCGGGCUUAACCUGGGAACUGCAUUUGUGACUGCAUGGCUAGAGUUUGGCAGAGGGGGGUAGAAUUCCACGUGUAGCAGUGAAAUGCGUAGAUAUGUGGAGGAACACCGAUGGCGCAAGGCAGCC
rnacentral:rRNA from 1 species